ACCCCCGGGACUCAGGUGGCGCCCAGGCGAGCAGGGGAGGACCGAAGUCCAGAGCAGAAGCGAGGACAGGCAGAGCAGCAGAAGCAGGGGCCCGGGCGGCCCUGGUCACUGCCCACAGCCAGACAGCAGUGGGACCACCGAAGCACGUCUCCGCACCAUCCCUGCCAGACUUGCAAGAUGGGUUUUCUUGCGUAAAGGCCCUGCCAGCAGUGAAGGGUGGACGGGUACCAGCGUCCCCCAGAGGGAAGAACCUGUUCCUGCCCAUUUGGAGCAGCCCGCCCCUGCCCCCCACGCUUCACCCUCACCACUGCUCCACAGGCCCCCAAAGGAAACCUGAAAUGACCCACACCUGCUCCAGGUGGGCUGAGCCCUCCUCCCUGCAGAACCAGUGGAACAGCACAGGCCCUCCUGCCUGUCCCCUCCCUCCCUCUUCUGGGCUUCGCCAGGGCAAGAGGCUGGCAGGCUGGGUCCCUCUGUGUGGCCAGCCCCCAGCUGCCUUGUCCCUGAAGAACACGUGGCUUCUCCCUUGGACUGACUUCUGUCACCCGAACUCUUCCAGGGCCUGGGGCCUUUGCGGGGGAAAGACGCCCCCUCCCUUGGGGCCCAGCCCAGCCAGCCCUGUUCCCAGUUCCCUGUGAGCUCAGGAGUCAGCUUCAUGUGACCACACAGGUCCAGCGCAGCCGUGACCAGACUGACACCCUAAGAGCAAAUCCUUGGAAGACAACCUGCUGAAGAGAAAGGGCAGCGGCUGGUCAGCCUCCCGGGAGCACCCUGCACGGUGGCAGAAGGGGACGCCACUGCGGGCUCAAACACCAGCUGGUCCUGCGGCUGUCACCUGCAAGUUCACCUGCAAGGUUACCUGGAAGGCAGAGACCCUGCCACCGCGAGGACGGCCCCUCCCUAGGACAGCAUCCUCCAGCCAGC